rnacentral:rRNA from 1 species
UACGGGGGGGGCAAGCGUUGUUCGGAAUUACUGGGCGUAAAGGGCUCGUAGGUGGCCAACUAAGUCGGACGUGAAAUCCCUCGGCUUAACCGGGGAACUGCGUCCGAUACUGGUUGGCUUGAGUUUGGGAGAGGGAAGUGGAAUUCCCGGUGUAGUGGUGAAAUGCGUAGAUAUCGGGAGGAACACCAGUGGCGAAGGCGACUUCCUGGCCUGUUCUUGACGCUGAGGCGCGAAAGCUAGGGGAGCAAACGGG